rnacentral:rRNA from 1 species
AUUGAACGCUGGCGGCAGGCCUAACACAUGCAAGUCGAGCGAGCGGCGGACGGGUGAGUAAUGUCUGGGAAACUGCCUGAUGGAGGGGGAUAACUACUGGAAACGGUAGCUAAUACCGCAUACCAUCAGAUGUUCCCAGAUGGGAUUAGCUAGUAGGUGGGGUACCGGCUCACCUAGGCGACGAUCCCUAGCUGGUCUGAUAGGAUGACCAGCCACACUGGAACUGAGACACGGUCCAGACGCCGACGGGAGGCAGCAGUGGGGAAUAUUGCACAAUGGGCGCAAGCCUGAUGCAGCCAUGCCGCGUGUGUGAAGAAGGCCGGCGGGUUGUAAAGCACUGUCAGCGGGGAGGCGUUACCCGCAGAAGAAGCACCGGCUAACUCCGUGCCAGCAGCCGCGGUAAUAC